rnacentral:rRNA from 1 species
AGAGACCGGCGCACGGGUGCGUAACGCGUAUGCAAUCUACCUUUCACAAAGGGAUAGCCCAGAGAAAUUUGGAUUAAUACCUUAUAGUAAUACGACUUGGCAUCAAGAUGUAUUUAAAGAUUUAUCGGUGAAAGAUGAGCAUGCGUCCCAUUAGCUAGUUGGUAAGGUAACGGCUUACCAUGGCUACGAUGGCUAGGGGUUCUGAGAGGACGGUCCCCCACACUGGCACUGAGAUACGGGCCAGACUCCUACGGGAGGCAGCAGUAGGGAAUAUUGGGCAAUGGGCGGAAGCCUGACCCAGCCAUGCCGCGUGCAGGAUGAAGGCCUUCUGGGUUGUAAACUGCUUUUACCAGGGAAGAAAACACCCAUGCGUGGGGAACUGACGGUACCUGGGGAAUAAGCACCGGCUAACUCCGUGCCAGCAGCCGCGGUGAUACGGAGGGUGCAAGCGUUGUCCGGAUUUAUUGGGUUUAAAGGGUCCGUAGGCGGUCAGAUAAGUCAGUGGUGAAAGCCCAUCGCUCAACGGUGGA